rnacentral:rRNA from 1 species
UGGGGGAUAUUGCACAAUGGGCGAAAGCCUGAUGCAGCGACGCCGCGUGGGGGAUGAAGGCUUUCGGGUUGUAAACCUCUUUCGCUAUCGAACAAGGCCCGCUUAGGGUGGUUUGAGGGUAGGUGGAGAAGAAGCGCCGGCUAACUACGUGCCAGCAGCCGCGGUAAUACGUAGGGCGCGAGCGUUGUCCGGAAUUAUUGGGCGUAAAGGGCUUGUAGGCGGAUAGUUGCGCCUGCUGUGAAAACGCGGGGCUUAACUUCGCGCGUGCAGUGGGUACGGGCAGGCUUGAGUGUGGUAGAGGUGACUGGAAUUCCAGGUGUAGCGGUGGAAUGCGCAGAUAUCUGGAGGAACACCGAUGGCGAAGGCAGGUCACUGGGCAAUUACUGACGCUGAGGAGCGCAAGCAUGGGUAGCGAACAGG